ensembl:lncRNA
CUGAACCCGGGGAGUCUUCACAUGUAGAUGGAUGGAUAGGUCUGAUUUUUCCAACUGAAGCACACUUGCAAGGGUCAGCACAAAGCCAGAAACCCAGUAGGUUCUGCCAGCCGCAGCAGCCUGUGCCCAGCAGGAGACCUGGUUUUGGGCCUGGGGUGACUUUUGUUUACACUGUUGUCUUACUUGGCUGGGAGCUCUCCCUGGGAGAGUGAAGAACUGAUGCAGAGAAAUGGCCGAGUGCGGGAGAAAUGGGUUUCCACCAAAGCGAUUUACCCAAUUUUCUUUUUCUGUAUAUCCUUAUACAUUUUAAAGGCAGAUUUAUUGCUAGUAAAAGUGCUGGCUGGACAAAGCGCUCUCAUGCUGUGCGUUUGCUUUUUCUUCUCUUGAAUGUUUUUAAACCUCUCUAGGUGUUUUGUCUUUUUGACAUAGACUGGCAGAGAAACCUAGGCAUCCUGGAUUCCCGGUUCACUGCUGUAGGGGCUUUGCCGGCUUGCUGGCUGCCCAGCCUGGCCAACUCCAGCCCUGCAGGGCCCACUCAGCGGGCGUACAGCACCAGAUGGAGAGAGGGAAGGCAGACCCAGCAAGAAUCCUCACGAAGAGGAGCUAGCAGCCCCGGGAAGAGAAAGAUCGUGCAGGACCAGUUGGACAAGAGCCCAGCUCUGAGUAACUCCCUGCAUUCAGGGAAAAUAAAAUCACAAAUGAGAACAGCAGGGGGCCAAGGACCAGCUGGAGACAAAGGGGUGUUGUUAGCUUCGGGGUGGGGGCUGUGAGACAAGCAAGGCUCUAGUGAGAUGUUCCAAAGUCUGGCCUGCCAUGGACAGCUGCCACCCGAGCUGCAGGCCUGGAAUGUUGUCACAAGCUCAGCGAGCCAUGCUGUCUGCCUCAGCCCAGGACCCGGAAAGACUGAUGAGACAAGAAAGGCCUUGGGCUUCCUCUUGCCUCCUGCAUCUUUAGCCUUCCCUGAACUGCCCUGGCAACUUAGCAGUUUUUCCUCUGGAAUGUUAGAAGAGUCACUCCCAGGACCUAUAAGAGGAAGUGAACCCAGGCGGCUUAAGGUAUAGUCUGUGGUGAGAACUAUAAUAUGCCUCCAGAUUCCUCUUUACUAAUUAAGGACAUACUCCCCCAGCUUCUAGAAGUACUGAUGAAAGACAGUCUUCAGCUGUAAACUUCUCCUGAGAGAUUGCCUUUACUAAAAAACUGUCUCACCUCAAAUCACACUUCUUUCAGGGAAGUCCACAUCUGGUGACUGAUCAUCCAGAGGUUAUAAAGUCCUGGCACCCUUACCUUAACUGGGCAAACUCUAAAGGACCAUCCCAGCUCCAGAGCUCUUCAUGUGGUCAUCUUAGGUCUCUGUUGAGACUGCAUCACAGCUCAACUUCUCCCUCUGCCCAAUUGUGGUUGUUUUUUUUUUCCUUUUCUUCUACAGGUUUUGAUCCCAGGAGUGCCACCUAAUAAACAUCUUACCUGUUAAUCACUAUCUCAUGGUUGCCUCUCAGAGAACUUAAGCUGUAUCAAACAUUAUAUACUGAUACUAUAACUGAAACCAUAACUAUCAUGAAUUUAUAUAUAUACAUUGUCUUACUCUUCUCAUGCUGCUAAUAAAGACAUACCCUAGACUGGGUAAUUUAUAAAGGAAAGAGGUUUAAUUGACUCACACAGUUCUACAUGGCUAGGGAGGUCUCACAAUCACGGCAGAAGCUGAUGGAGAAGCAAAGUCAUGUCUUACAUGGCAGCAGUCAAGAGAACUUGUGCAGGGGACCGCCCGUUUAUAAAACCAUCAGAUCAUGAGAUGUAUUCACUACCAUGAGAACAGUAUGGGGGAAACUCCCCCCAUGGUUCAAUUAUCUCUCCCUGGCCCUGCCCUUGACAUGUGGAGACUAUUACAAUUCAAGAUGAGAUUUGGGCGGGGACACAGCCAAACCAUUUAUAAAUUUAUAAAAUAAAUGCUGAUAGAAUUACAUGAAGGAAUUUAGAAGUAUACAAUACUUGUGUAAAGAUUUUAACACCUAUUUUAGAAACUGAUAGAUCAGGAAGUCAAUAUUAGUAAAGAUGCUAAAGAUUUGAAUAAAAUAGCUAUUUUCUCUCAGGUAAUGUAAUGUAACAUACCAUGAUACAACAUAACUGUAUUCUUAUGUAAGGAGUGAGGAGCACAUAUGUUUUUUUAAAUAUACGUGUAUCAUUUUAAAAAGCUGGUCAUGUGUUAGUUUAUAAAAGGUCUCAAAAAUAUCCAAAUAAUUGAUAUCAUAUAGAACAUUUCAUCUUACCAAAGUAUAAGACACAGUAAAAUAGAAUUAAUACAGUUGGGCCUUCACAAACCUGUAUUAGAAAAAUAAUGAUCUAUAACAAAAAUUAAUUAGUAAUCAAAAAUUCUCCCUUAAAAGGCACCAAUCCCACAUAAUUUUAUAGAGAAGUUUUUACCACAAAUCAGAAGCUCAUAAUUCCUUUCUGAUACAGUCUCUUUCAGCAAAUGAACAAAGAGAGUAAACUACCUAUUAUUUGAUACCAAAUUAGGCACAGGAAAUAUAAGAAAUGAGAUAUAUUGUCCAAUCACACUAUAGCAUAGUUGAACAAAUUAUAACAAACCCAGAAUUGGAUUGAUAGUACAUCAGGAUAAAACAGAUUAUCCCAAGUAUGCAAAGAUAUGUCAACAUUUAAAAGAUCUAUAAAUCUUCAUUCAACACAUUAACAAAAAAAGACAAAAACAUGUGAGCAUCUCAAUGAAUGUAGAAAAAUAUUUUAUAAGGUCAAUAUUCAUUCACAAAUUAAGGAAAAGACCAGUACAUAAGAAAAAAACUUCCUUAACCUUAUAAAGAGCAUCUAUCCCAAACCCACAGAAAAUGCCAUACUUUAUGGUCAGAUUUUAGAAGCAUUCACAUUAAACUCAAGACAAGAAAUUAUUCACUAAAACCACUUCUAUGUAGCAAUUACUGGAAAUUUUAACCCAUUCAAAAAUGCAAUAAAAAGAAAUAAGUGAUAUAAUUAUUUGCAAAAAAGAAGCACAAUUGUUAUUUGCAGAUGGUAUCAUUGUUUGCAUAUAAAAUGCAAAAAGAAUUCACAGACUAACUAUUUAGAAUUUAAAAAGUUCAGGAAGAAUGCCAGAAAUAAGAUCAACAUACAAAAAUAAUUAGUGAGGUUUUAUUUAACAAUAAUUGGAAAAUAGAAAACGUUAUUUUUUAAAGAUCUCAUUCACAAUUGCAUUCAAAUUUACACAGUGCCUAGGGCAAAAAUAAUCUAACAAAUAGUAUUUAAUACUUUUAUAAAGAAAAUUACACAACUAUACAAGGUCAAAAAGGAGCUUGGUUAU